rnacentral:sRNA from 1 species
CGUCUUCCACUUGCUGCGGGCAGAUGAAAUGGAUGUGGGAAUCGAUCCCGCCCGCUGUGAGGAUGUGGCCUUCGCCCGCGAUGGCUUCGGUGCCGGGGCCGACCAGGAUGUUGACACCUGCCUGCGUAUCCGGGUUACCUGCUUUACCGAUGCCGGUAAUGCGCCCAUGUUUGAUGCCGAUGUCUGCCUUGACGAUACCCCAGUGAUCGAGGAUCAGGGCGUUGGUAAUCACCACAUCGACGACUUCCGUAUCAUGACGUUGGCAUUGCCCCAUGCCGUCGCG